rnacentral:rRNA from 1 species
UACGGGGGGCAAGCGUUGUUCGGAAUUACUGGGCGUAAAGGGCUCGUAGGCGGCCAACUAAGUCGGACGUGAAAUCCCUCGGCUUAACCGGGGAACUGCGUCCGAUACUGGAUGGCUUGAGUUCGGGAGAGGGAUGCGGAAUUCCAGGUGUAGCGGUGAAAUGCGUAGAUAUCUGGAGGAACACCGGUGGCGAAGGCGGCAUCCUGGACCGAUACUGACGCUGAGGAGCGAAAGCCAGGGGAGCAAACGGG